UACGUAGGGUGCAAGCGUUAAUCGGAGUUACUGGGCGUAAAGCGUGCGCAGGCGGUUGUGUAAGUUUGUCGUGAAAUCCCCGGGCUCAACCUGGGAAUUGCGAUGAAGACUGCACGGCUAGAGUGUGUCAGAGGGGGGUAGAAUUCCAAGUGUAGCAGUGAAAUGCGUAGAUAUGUGGAGGAACACCGAUGGCGAAGGCAGCCCCCUGGGAUAACACUGACGCUCAUGCACGAAAGCGUGGGGAGCAAACAGG
rnacentral:rRNA from 1 species